UGAUGACAAAAGUGUGCUAAUUGACUUCCCCGGGCAACCCCAGCAUGUCUGCUACAGACCUCCUGGUAAAGAAGACGCAAAUGCUGGCAAAAGCUCAAGAACCACCACUGCUACGAGAUCAAAUUUUUUUCAGAUGGUGUUUUUUCUUAUAACUACCACUGGCAUUUCUUCUUCCUGCUGGCACACACUGGACACGUUUCAACAACAGAUGGGGUCUUUAUUCCAAGUGAAGUCACCAACCUCAGUUACAACACUGUGUGAAAUCCUGAUCGGAUUUCCCAGGAAAAGGCUGGAUUUACCGUCUUGUACUUAAAGCAGGGGAUGGAAUGUCACCAUCUACAGAAAUCCAAAAACAACAAUCCUGCAUCUUUGCAAUGGUACUUUGAACCCAGGAAAGGAAAACAGCAGUGCUUGUCCCCUUCUCAUUAUCAACGCUAAUAUGCCCUUGAGCAAGGCAGUUAGCCAUCACUGCUCCAGUGGGACUGCU